rnacentral:rRNA from 1 species
UACGGAGGAUGCAAGCGUUAUCCGGAAUGAUUGGGCGUAAAGCGUCCGCAGGUGGCUAUGUAAGUCUGCUGUUAAAGAGUGAGGCUCAACCUCAUAAAAGCAGUGGAAACUACAUGGCUAGAGUGCGUUCGGGGCAGAGGGAAUUCCUGGUGUAGCGGUGAAAUGCGUAGAUAUCAGGAAGAACACCAGUGGCGAAGGCGACUACCUGGCCUGUUUCUUGACGCUGAGGCGCGAAAGCUAGGGGAGCAAACGGG